GUGUAGCAAUAUAUUUCAUUUGAUCAAGAAGCUACUGUUUCUCGAGACAAAUCCAUGGUCUGUUUGCGGACAAAGCCGUGGCAUUGUCCAUCCAUCCGUUCGAUCGUUCGGACGAAAACGGAUGCUUUUGUUGUCACCUAGUUAUCGGGUAUCGAAUUUCCAGUGACGUACAUAUAUUUGAUUAACACCCAGUUUUAUUUUCAGGGGGUUUCUGUUUAUGGCUCUGUUAUUUGAUUUGGUUAUUUAAUACGUUUUUGCCGCCUGAGUAGCCGGAACUAAAGUGAAGUGCAUUUAUGGCCAGGCCAAGACUUUCUUUACUUAGAAAAGCAUAAACUUUUGAUGGAUGGCAUUUCUUGUCAGAGUUAUUUGAGUAUAUAAAGCUAUGGUCGUAAGAGGUUGUGUAAAUAGAAUGGAGUUUGAAGUGUUGUGAAAAUUCGUAAGCAUGCUGGAUGCGAAGAAUUUAAGAGUUGUGUGAAAUUUAAAUAGUUUAAGCUAAAGACUAUACAACACCAUAUGAAAAGUUUGUCAAAAGAGAGAAGGUUGCAC
rnacentral:lncRNA from 1 species